UACGGGGGGGGCAAGCGUUGUUCGGAAUUACUGGGCGUAAAGGGCUCGUAGGCGGCCAACUAAGUCAGACGUGAAAUCCCUCGGCUUAACCGGGGAACUGCAUCUGAUACUGGAUGGCUUGAGAUUGGGAGAGGGAUGCGGAAUUCCAGGUGUAGCGGUGAAAUGCGUAGAUAUCGGGAAGAACACCCGUGGCGAAGGCGGCUCUCUGGGACGGUACUGACGCUGAGACGCGAAAGCGUGGGGAGCGAACAGG
rnacentral:rRNA from 1 species